GAAAAAAUCCCAGGCUUUGUCUAGUCUUGUCUGGACUCAUUCCCAUAAAUAACGCUGCUUGAUAGGUCAUUUUUCUUUUUAGGAAAAAACACACUUGGAACUGGGACUUUAUUUUCCUGGUGCUUGUCACAUCUGUGUCUGGGUGUGGUGUGCCCAGUUACUGGUCCGACACCAGUCAAGUGGUAAAUGGGGCAGAGGCUCGUCCACACAGCUGGCCAUGGCAGAUUCCACACGUACAGAGUGGUUAUUGCUGAACACGAUAUGGACAAAGAAGAGGGACCUGAACAGUCUCUUAUGGUGGCAAAAAUGUUUAUCCAUCCCAAAUGGAACAAUAACUGUGUGUCUUGUGGGUGUGUUCAGCAAUAUAAUAUUCGGAGGGACACUUUGUUUUCUAAGAACCUCAGGGAAAUGAUUAAGAAUCAAUAAUAUGUUUUUCGGGGUACACCCUGGACAAGUCACCAUUCGAUCACAGGACCAACAACCAUUCCCACCUAAGGGCAAUUUAGGUUGCACCCUAGUUUAGGAUCUGGGUCUUUAGAUAAUAAAGUAGAAAGACAGUUGUUUACAGUUUUUUUUUACAGUUUUUUCACUGCCCAGCAUUGAAUCACACUAAACCGUAGCAGUUUUAAGUCAGUUAGGGUCACCAUAGUUUGUUUUAUUUGCCAAGUGGCAGAAUGAUGACAAGUAUGAUUUGUUUUAGCAUUCUUUAAAAUCCUGUCACGAUCUGCCAUUUAGUGUUUUGUAUUUGUUUACUUUUGCUUAGUCAGGUGUUUUGUGUUCGUCCAGGUCUUUAGUUUACUUUUCUUGUUUCUUCCUAGAUCCCUGGUUUCAUGUGUUUGUUUAUAUUUCCCUUAAGAUCUGUUUUUCCUGAGUUUUGCUAUUUAGUCUUGUCUCUUUUUGCUCAGUUCCUCAUGUCUGUUUUCCUCUGCUGUCAGGUCUCAUUAGUUGUAAUUAGUCACAUUUCCCUCAGUCUCUCUGCAAACCUGUUCCUUGUUCCCCAUGAUUACUCUGUCCCUCUGUUCACUGGUUCUCUCUGUAUUCUCUGUUUGCAUUUAAGCUCUCUAGUUUUCAUUGUUCCCCAUUGGUUCCUCCUGUCAAUUACCCUGUUAUCGUCCUGAGUUCUUCCUAGUGGUUUGUUUUCUGUUUUGCCUCCUGAACCUGUUCUUGUUGGAUUACCAGCCUGUGCUCAGUACUCUGCCUGCCUGCCUGUAAGUCUGUUGUGCAUCUUCAACAUUAAAACUUCAUCUACUCACCAUCCGGCCUCCUCGCCAUGUUCAGCAUUCUGGUCCUGCCUCCAAUGACUCGAUGUUUGCUUACAUUUCCUUAGAAGGCUAUUCAAUAAAAUUACCUUUUAAAUUGUA